GUGUUAAUUUUAGUUUACCUGGGUAAUAUUAGUUAAGGUCUUUAAACCCAAAGAAUUUGGCGGUAUUUCAUUCCAUUCAGAGGAACCUAUCUCGUAAUUGAUAGUACACGAUUAACUUUACUUGAUUUAUUUGUUUGUAUAUCUCCGUUAUCAGAAAAUCUUUUUGGAGUUAUAAUUUUCUUAUUUUUCCAUUAAAAUUUAUUUCAGGUCAAGGUGCAGCUUAUAAUCAAGUGUGUGAUGGGUUACAAUAAAUUUUUUUAUUAUGGAUUUAAUUUUGAAAUAUUUUUAAUGAAGGUGGAUUUGAUAGUAAUUUAAUUUAUUUAAUUUAAUUGAUAUUGGCUCU
rnacentral:rRNA from 1 species